AGUCACACCCUUCUUCAAUUGACCUACCGUCUCCUUCCCCUUAUUUCUCCCAAUCUCAUCGAUUCUAUCUUAAUCUAACGAACGUAUCUGUGACCUAAGCCUAAUUUUCUUCAGGCUAUUGAACUCUCUGUUAUACCACUCCAAUGCGCCCUCCCGAGUCCCGAGUCAUCAUUUUGACUGUUCGAAAUCGCGGUAUUUGAGUUUCUUUGAUUGCAAGAGAACUAUAAUGCAAUGAUUCCAGUGAAAACCUGAAGGCUGAUGAUUAUUGGAAGAUGCAAUUGCAGAGAUGGAUGAAGAGACAGCUACAUGGGUUGCAACUGCUGCACACUGGUAUUUUUUGGUUGACUUGCACAUUCAUGGAGCAUCAUUUACACAGUUUUAAAAUAGACGGUAAACAAAAAGGGGAUGGUUCUAUUAAAGCAUGAUAUCAUCCAUACAUUAUAUUGAAGUCACUAAAAAGAACUGUAUUGGAUGUAUUUAGUAAUCAACAAGGUCGCCGAUGCAUAGAGAUUACAGAAAAAGAACUAUAAAGGCCCCAAUAUUACUUCUUUCAUUCAAGGCAAUUUAAACUUCAGAAAAUUUUAGACA